UAUCCUAAUAAAAAUGCAAAAAUGCCAAAAAUAAAUCAUAAAAGUCUGAUUUGCAAGAUACAAAUUCUGAAUUGCAAUCUCUUUUAUCUCUCUCUCUUUUUAUUUUUAUAUUAAAGGAGGCCUAUUAUUUAUACCUUAGACCCGUUUUACAAUAUAUAAGUCUCAAAUGUCCCCAGAAUGUCUGUGAGGUUUCAUAUCUUUCAUAUCAUUUUAAAAAUGCCUAUUUUAAGUGGAAGCAGAAACACACUGUUUUCGUGCAUGUCUCUUUAAAUGCAAAUGAGCUGCUGCUCCCCGCCCCCUUUUCCAGAAUAGGACUGUGCCUUUACAGCUUGUGUUUCAAAUAGUCUGCUAAAAAACAUCUGUUUGGCUUUUCAUUGCCACGUCUAUUGCAGUGAAAUUGUGUUUUAAAACCAUAUCGGCUUGAACUUCUGAUAUUUCUUCUGUUUUUUGUUUUUUUUUACUUCUGGUUUUCUGAGCGCACACAUCCGAAGCACAUGCACAGAAAGCGGCUGUCACACAGUAUGUGAAGCUGGAUCACGAAUGAUUUGUGCGAACAUAGACGCAUUUAUGUACAUUGGGAAGUGCAUUCCCUUCACAAACAAACGUAAUCCACUGCAUCUUCAGCUGCUCAGAUGUCGGGAGUAAAUGACGACCACUAUGUUCAUUAUUACAUCCAGCAUCACAACACCUCAAUCGCUCAAUCAGAGAUAUUCUUGUCUAACUUACAUCCCUGCUCCAGCAUCGAAUCAAUGGAGGUCGGACUGUUACAGCUGAUCUGAGUGGAUUUGAAUGUGACUCAUCCAAUGAGAAUUCAGAAGCCAUCAAGCAGAAGCUACAUGGAAUCUAACACCUCCAGCGAUUGACUUCUCGCAUGCUGUUCACUUCUACAGUUCGGGAACAGCAGGCCAAGCGGACCAUGAACGUCCCAUACAUCUCGAUGUCAAACCCUCAAGCUGCCGAAGCCCUUGGGGAGGAUGGAUAUUUCCGUGUGACGUGCAAGAGAGCGCUCAUGUGCACAGUCACCUAGGCUCCCGCCACGAAUGGAGACACACAGCCAGUCAACAAUAAACAUGUGGGUGUACUGGGAAAUGACGGAGAGCGACAUCCACGCCAGACAGACAGGACGCACCUUUCUAGACUUUCUGAGAGAGACAGCUGGAGACAGAGUAUGGACUAAUGAUUAAUGACAUUUAGAUUAUUAUUCAACUUCAGAGAUGUCCCACCCCCUCAACACACUCCAGAUGCAUAAGGAGAGAUGAGGUGAAGAUGAUUUAACCCGUGUUCUCUGGGAUUUUGCCGAAUAUGAUGGAUGGCAUGGAAGAUGUUCGGGGAGAGAGAAAUGCAUAAAUCAUACUUUGGCAAUGGGUUUGACGCCGUUGAUUUAUUCAUUUGAGAAGAGCGCCAUUAGGGGAGGAAUUUGUCACCUUUUAUCUUUAAAGAGAUAGUUCACUUAAAAACGACAAUUUUUGUCAUCAUAUAUUCAUACUGUAUAACUUCCUUUCUUCUAUGAAACACCAAAAGUGAUGUUCUGCAGAAUCUUUCAUGCUUACAAUGAAAGUGGAUGGAGACCAGAACAUCAUGAUCCAAAAAGGACAAAAUAGCAUCAUAAAAGUAGUCCUUACGACUCACAAACUAUAUUCCAAGUCUUCUCAAGUCAUACAGCAGUAACUGAAAAUCUUGCUUGCCAAGCAUGGUCACCAUUCACUUUCACUGUAUGGAAAAAAAGUAGCUCAGAAAGCUGUACAUAUACUAUACAUACAAAAUUCUAAAUAAUGAUAAAUAGAUCUGUGUUUCAUGGAAGAAGAGAAGUCAUAUAAGUUUCAAAAGACCUAAC